rnacentral:rRNA from 1 species
AGGGUUUGAUCCUGGCUCAGAACGUACGCUGGCGGCACGCCUAACACAUGCAAGUCGAACGAAGUAGCAAUACUUAGUGGCAGACGGGUGAGUAACAUGUAGGUAUCUGCCCUUUGGCCUGGAAUAACACGAGGAAACUUGUGCUAAUACCGGAUAAGUCUUUACGGAGAAAGCUUUAUGCACCAUUGGAUGAGCCUGCACUUGAUUAGUUUGUUGGUGGGGUAAUGGCCUACCAAGACUGUGAUCAAUAGCUGAUUUGAGAGGAUGAUCAGCCACAUUGGGACUGAGACACGGCCCAAACUCCUACGGGAGGCAGCAGUGGGGAAUCUUGCACAAUGGAGGAAACUCUGAUGCAGCGAUGCCGCGUGAGUGAAGAAGGCCCUUGGGUUGUAAAGCUCUUUCGUCGGGGAAGAAAAUGACUGUACCCGAAUAAGAAGGUCCGGCUAACUUCGUGCCAGCAGCCGCGGUAAUUC